UACAGAGGGGGCAAGCGUUGUUCGGAAUUACUGGGCGUAAAGGGCGCGUAGGCGGCCUGCUAAGUCGAACGUGAAAUCCCUGGGCUCAACCCCAGGGAACUGCCGUCCGAUACUGGUUGGCUUGAAUCCGGGAGAGGGACGUGGAAUUCCAGGUGGUAGCGGUGAAAUGCGUAGAUAUACAGGAGGAACACCGGUGGCGAAGGCGGGUCUCUGGGGCCGAGUGACUGACGCUGAGGAGCGAA
rnacentral:rRNA from 1 species